rnacentral:rRNA from 1 species
GGUUAAGCGACUAAGCGUACACGGUGGAUGCCCUGGCAGUCAGAGGCGAUGAAGGGCGUGCUAAUCUGCGAUAAGCGCCGGUAAGGUGAUAUGAACCGUUAUAACCGGCGAUACCCGAAUGGGGAAACCCAGUGUGAUUCGUCACACUAUCAUUAACUGAAUCCAUAGGUUAAUGAGGCGAACCGGGGGAACUGAAACAUCUAAGUACCCCGAGGAAAAGAAAUCAACCGAGAUUCCCCCAGUAGCGGCGAGCGAACGGGGAGGAGCCCAGAGCCUGAAUCAGCAUGUGUGUUAGUGGAAGCGU